UACGUAGGGUGCAAGCGUUGUCCGGAAUUAUUGGGCGUAAAGAGCUCGUAGGCGGUCAGUCGCGUCUGCUGUGAAAACUCGGGGCUUAACUCCGGGCCUGCAGUGGGUACGGGCUGGCUAGAGGCAGGCAGGGGGAGAACGGAAUUCCCGGUGUAGCGGUGAAAUGCGCAGAUAUCGGGAGGAACACCGGUGGCGAAGGCGGUUCUCUGGGCCUGUACUGACGCUGAGGAGCGAAGCGUGGGGAGCGAACAGGAUAGAACCG
rnacentral:rRNA from 1 species